UACAGAGGGGGCAAGCGUUAUUCGGAAUUAUUGGGCGUAAAGGGCGCGUAGGCGGCUUGGCAAGUGGAAGGUGAAAUCCCUCGGCUUAACCGAGGAACUGCCCUCCAAACUGCUUCGCUUGAGACCGGGAGAGGUGAGUGGAAUUCCCAGUGUAGCGGUGAAAUGCGUAGAUAUUGGGAGGAACACCAGUGGCGAAGGCGGCUCACUGGACCGGUACUGACGCUGAUGCGCGAAAGCGUGGGGAGCAAACAGG
rnacentral:rRNA from 1 species